rnacentral:ribozyme from 1 species
CUUGUUUAGUUUGAUGUUUUUCUCUCUUUUUUCUUUUUUUUCUUUGCUUUCUCUCCUUUUUUCUGUUUUUUUUGCAAUAA